GAUGAACGCUGGCGGCGUGCCUAAUACAUGCAAGUCGAGCGAAUGGAUUAAGAGCUUGCUCUUAUGAAGUUAGCGGCGGACGGGUGAGUAACACGUGGGUAACCUGCCCAUAAGACUGGGAUAACUCCGGGAAACCGGGGCUAAUACCGGAUAACAUUUUGAACCGCAUGGUUCGAAAUUGAAAGGCGGCUUCGGCUGUCACUUAUGGCUGGACCCGCGUGGCAUUAGCUAGUUGGUGUGGUAACGGCUCACAAAGGCAACGAUGCGUAGCCGACCUGGGAGGGUGAUCGGCCACACUGGGACGGAGACACGGCCCAGACUCCUACGGGAGGCAGCAGUAGGGAAUCUUCCGCAAUGGACGAAAGUCUGACGGAGCAACGCCGCGUGAGUGAUGAAGGCUUUCGGGUCGUAAAACUCUGUUGUUAGGGAAGAACAAGUGCUAGUUGAAUAAGCUGGCACCUUGACGGUACCUAACCAGAAAGCCACGGCUAACUACGUGCCAGCAGCCGCCGUAA
rnacentral:rRNA from 1 species